rnacentral:Y_RNA from 1 species
UGCUGAUCCUAAGAGUAGUGGUGUUUGCAACUAAUGGAUCACAACCAGUUACAGAUUCCUUUGUUCCUUCUCCACUCCCACUGCUUCACUUGACUAACCUACA